UACGUAGGUGGCAAGCGUUGUCCGGAAUUAUUGGGCGUAAAGAGCUCGUAGGCGGUUUGUUGCGUCGGCUGUGAAAUCCCGAGGCUCAACCUCGGGUCUGCAGUCGAUACGAGCAAACUAGAGUGUUGCAGGGGGAGACUGGAAUUCCUGGUGUAGCGGUGAAAUGCGCAGAUAUCAGGAGGAACACCGGUGGCGAAGGCGGGUCUCUGGGCAACAACUGACGCUGAGGAGCGAAAGCGUGGGGAGCGAACAGG
rnacentral:rRNA from 1 species